CAGUAGCCACGGUAAUACGUAGGUGGCAAGCGUUGUCCGGAUUUAUUGGGCGUAAAGCGAGCGCAGGCGGUUUCUUAAGUCUGAUGUGAAAGCCCCCGGCUCAACCGGGGAGGGUCAUUGGAAACUGGGAGACUUGAGUGCAGAAGAGGAGAGUGGAAUUCCAUGUGUAGCGGUGAAAUGCGUAGAUAUAUGGAGGAACACCAGUGGCGAAGGCAGCUCUCUGGUCUGUAACUGACGCUGAGGCUCGAAAUCGUGGGGAGCAAACAGGAUUAGAUACCCCUGUAGUCCCUGUCUCUUAUAA
rnacentral:rRNA from 1 species